rnacentral:rRNA from 1 species
AUACGUAGGGGGCAAGCGUUAUCCGGAUUUACUGGGUGUAAAGGGAGCGUAGGCGGCAAGGCAAGUCUGAUGCGAAAACCCGGGGCUCAACCCCGGGACUGCAUUGGAAACUGCUUAGCUAGAGUGUCGGAGAGGUAAGUGGAAUUCAUAGUGUAGCGGUGAAAUGCGUAGAUAUUAGGAGGAACACCAGUGGCGAAGGCGACUUACUGGACGAUAACUGACGCUGAGGCGCGAAAGCGUGGGGAGC